rnacentral:rRNA from 1 species
GAUGAACGCUGGCGGCGUGCCUAAUACAUGCAAGUCGAGCGAACAGACGAGGAGCUUGCUUCUCUGAUGUUAGCGGCGGACGGGUGAGUAACACGUGGAUAACCUACCUAUAAGACUGGGAUAACUUCGGGAAACCGUAGCUAAUACCGGAUAAUAUUUUGAACCGCAUGGUUCAAUAGUGAAAGACGGUCUUGCUGUCACUUAUAGAUGGAUCCGCGCUGCAUUAGCUAGUUGGUAAGGUAACGGCUUACCAAGGCAACGAUGCGUAGCCGACCUGAGAGGGUGAUCGGCCACACUGGAACUGAGACACGGUCCAGACUCCUACGGGAGGCAGCAGUAGGGAAUCUUCCGCAAUGGGCGAAAGCCUGACGGAGCAACGCCGCGUGAGUGAUGAAGGUCUUCGGAUCGUAAAACUCUGUUAUUAGGGAAGAACAAAUGUGUAAGUAACUGUGCACAUCUUGACGGUACCUAAUCAGAAAGCCACGGCUAACUACGUG